rnacentral:rRNA from 1 species
UACGUAGGGGGCAAGCGUUGUCCGGAAUCAUUGGGCGUAAAGCGCGUGUAGGCGGUCCGGUAAGUCCGCUGUGAAAGUCGGGGGCUCAACCCUCGGAUGCCGGUGGAUACUGUCGGGCUUGAGUACGGAAGAGGCGAGUGGAAUUCCUGGUGUAGCGGUGAAAUGCGCAGAUAUCAGGAGGAACACCAAUUGCGAAGGCAGCUCACUGGGACGUUACUGACGCUGAGACGCGAAAGCGUGGGGAGCGAACGGG